UAGCGGGCUUGAGCGAGCAGUAUGAUGGAGGUUAUGCCCAGCACUGACAUACAGAUCUACAUACCGCACUAACAUAUAGUGAGUGUUUUUCUGGGUUCUUCACAUAAACCUUGAACACAGCCGUGGCCAACGCAGAGAUCCACAUCGGGUAAUAAGUUAUGAAUAUCUCUGGAUUGCCUGUCGGCUCCAUACGUGAAAGUAA
rnacentral:lncRNA from 1 species